AGCUCCAAUAGCGUAUACUAAAGUUGUUGCAGUUAAAAAGCUCGUAGUUGGAUUUCUGGUAGUGGACACCGGUCGUCCCCUCACGGGGAUUGUACCAGGGUCUGCUGCCAUCCUCGAGGAGAGCGCAUCUGGCAUUAAGUUGUCGGGUGUGGUAUCCUCGUCAUUUACUGUGAGCAAAAUAGAGUGUUCAAAGCAGGCUUAGGCCGUUGAAUACAUUAGCAUGGAAUAAUAAGAUAAGACCUUGGUCUAUUUUGUUGGUUUGCACUCCGAGGUAAUGAUUAAUAGGGAUAGUUGGGGGUAUUCGUAUUCAAUUGUCAGAGGUGAAAUUCUUGGAUUUAUGGAAGACGAACUACUGCGAAAGCAUUUACCAAGGAUGUUUUCA
rnacentral:rRNA from 1 species